UACGUAGGGUGCGAGCGUUAAUCGGAAUUACUGGGCGUAAAGCGUGCGCAGGCGGUUUUGUAAGCCAGAUGUGAAAUCCCCGGGCUUAACCUGGGAAUGGCAUUUGGGACUGCAAGGCUUGAGUGCGGCAGAGGAGACUGGAAUUCCCGGUGUAGCGGUGAAAUGUGUAGAGAUCGGGAGGAACACCGGUGGCGAAGGCGGGUCUCUGGGCAUCUCCUGACGCUGAGGCGCGAAAGCGUGGGGAGCAAACGGG
rnacentral:rRNA from 1 species